UACGAAGGGGGGCUAGCGUUGCUCGGAAUCACUGGGCGUAAAGGGCGCGUAGGCGGAUCUUUAAGUCGGGGGUGAAAGCCCAGGGCUCAACCCUGGAAUUGCCUUCGAUACUGAAGAUCUCGAGACCGGAAGAGGUAAGUGGAACUGCGAGUGUAGAGGUGAAAUUCGUAGAUAUUCGCAAGAACACCAGUGGCGAAAGGCGGCUUACUGGUCCGGUUCGACGCUGAGGCGCGAAAGCGUGGG
rnacentral:rRNA from 1 species